rnacentral:rRNA from 1 species
GAUGAACGCUGGCGGCGUGCCUAAUACAUGCAAGUCGAGCGGACAGAUGAGGAGCUUGCUCCUCUGACGUUAGCGGCGGACGGGUGAGUAACACGUGGAUAACCUACCUAUAAGACUGGGAUAACUUCGGGAAACCGGAGCUAAUACCGGAUAAUAUAUUGAACCGCAUGGUUCAAUAGUGAAAGACGGUUUUGCUGUCACUUAUAGAUGGAUCCGCGCCGCAUUAGCUAGUUGGUAAGGUAACGGCUUACCAAGGCAACGAUGCGUAGCCGACCUGAGAGGGUGAUCGGCCACACUGGAACUGAGACACGGUCCAGACUCCUACGGGAGGCAGCAGUAGGGAAUCUUCCGCAGUGGGCGAAAGCCUGACGGAGCAACGCCGCGUGAGUGAUGAAGGUCUUCGGAUCGUAAAACUCUGUUAUUAGGGAAGAACAAAUGUGUAAGUAACUAUGCACGUCUUGACGGUACCUAAUCAGAAAGCCACGGCUAACUACGUG